rnacentral:lncRNA from 1 species
GAACAGAUCGAUCGAUUGCACACAGCUACUCCUAAGUCCUAAUUAAUGAAGCUAGUACUGAUGCAUGAUUUGCCCUGCUAAUAACAUCUAGUUGGAGAUCGAUGAGCCAAGACUCAAUUACAACUUAGAAGAAGAAUUAAGCUCGCUAGGUUGUGAUCUCAGCAUGACAGGAACAGUAGACGGAUGAGCUAGGCGUGGACGUAGAGCGCGGCGAGGCUGCGGCGGCAGCGGGCGCAGGAGAACUUGCGCUUGUUCUUGACACACAGCGGCAGGCAGCACAGCACCCGCCGCGCGCUCUCCACGUCCGUGGCCACCACCGCGCCGCCGCACCGCGGGCACGCCCCGGGAGCCUUCUGCUCCCCCACCACCGUCUCCUCCUCCAGCCCGCAGCACGCCGCCGCCGCCAUCCUAGCUACCUGUGCUUCGCUCUCAAACUGGUAAGUUCUUGAUGAGGUGGAUGGGCGGCGCGAGAGGUACGGUGUUGGGGAAGAUGGAGAUAUUUGUUGUUGGGACUUGGGAGCAGAGAAGGGGCAAAAUGUGGUGAAGACAAGUAGACGCGAGCUGGAACAAGAGGAGGCGGCGAUGGUCAUGUGAAUGGAGGUGUGCAGCGUGCGUGUGCCUCUAACUGUGCUUGGUUUGACCCCCCGCAGGCUGCAGCUCGGCGCAUGUCGCUGCUGGCUCGCACAGCACGCGCGCGCUACAGUGCUUUGCGACUUCGUGGCAUCCAGGUGUAACAUAUAUCCACAAAUGGAUAGGGUCCAUGGAUUCGUCGAUGAUUACCUUUUGCGUUUGGGGAACGAAGGCCAUACAGGGGAACAUGCAUCGACCUUGUUUGCAACUGUUGCACUUGCCACUUGGGAAAAGGUAGGUGCUUUGUUGUUUGAUUGGACCUGUCGUCCUUUUGUUUUGCCUAAAAAAAAGCAGUUUUUUUUCCUUUUUUAUGUAGUGUAAGCGUAUGACCUCUAGGUAGGAUGAUGGCAAAGCUAAAUAGCUUUUCCACAACAACAACCUGCUUCAAUUUGCAUUACGUAUGGUUGUAAAAGUAGUGCUUCUUUUGGCCGGACAUUGCUUGCUUUGUGCCCAACAAUCUGGUUGGAACGUCCUGUGACAAUAUGAUUGACCAUUUCUUCCUUUCACGCAACCAACCGUGUUCUUCUAAGGAACCAUGAUGUGCCUUGCCUUAAAGUAAUGCGAAAAAAGCACAACAUGGUUGGUUUUGGAUUUAACAAAAAUGUUUGCAAUAACACGAUGCACAUCUAAUAAUAAUAUAUAUAUGCCAACAGGUGUCAAGUAUGUAUGGUUUGAAAGCAAUAACUAAUUGUAGGCUGGUGGUGGCUUCCCUCUUUCCAUCAGUCAAAUCAGUUGCUUUAUUUAGAUAAUUUUGCCCAAUUUUUUUCGUUCUCAAAAGGAUAGGGGGGGGGGGGGGGCGGAAUAGUCAUCUCUGUGUUGAUGAUCACUAUAUUGGAACCUGCAAACAAGGCACGUGGAUGCAGCUGCACUUAAAAGUGUAGACCGGCUGUACUAGUCGACGAUCAACCAAUUUUGAUUUUUCUCUAAGCUAAUAAUGUGACAAGUAAGCCAAUAUAUAUUGUUCAUUUGUUUAUAUAUUGGUAUCCUUAAUCUAUACACAUACAGUUACUUAUACGUUGAUGGUAAAAUUAAAAUUUCCAACAUAGCCCGCAAAAUUAAAUGGUUUACAUUUGUAAACGACUGAGAGAGAAUAGCUAGCUCCACCCGCGUCAUGAUCGCUCCUCUAUCUUAUCUGUUAGUAUGUGUUGGAAUAUGUUCCGAAUUUCUAAAGACUUUUAGAUGCAUCAACCGAUUAGGUGUCUUACUUACCUUGUCCUAAAUUGGGAAGGCAUUUUGUGGUACCAUGCUUGCAUGCAUGUUUACAGGUUGCAUGCAUGAGCUUUUGUUUAACCAUUCGGCAUGCUCCAGCCUAUAUAAACUAGUUGAAUGUUGUACGAUUGAGAGUAACACAAUUAGCAGAGUCAUUCUGCGUUGCUAUUCCUCUUGUAAUCUGCUUGGGUUGAGUUAACCACUCAUUGUAAAUCCGUAGCAUUUGUAGACCUCCAGAUAUAUUGAAUAGUGAAGAUCAUCUUUGUGUAUCCGUGUCUUGCUUGCAAAGGAGUUUCCACAUAAAUCUGUGUCUCUUGUGAUUGUGAUCGUACUUGUUUCGCCAGUUGAUUUCUAACAGCAUGCCCAUAGUUCUCCACUCUCUCACAAUGAAAGCAACAAGCUGGGAUGCUCUCCACAUCCUUAGUUUCCACCUGUCAACCAAAUCAGUUGAUGUCGGGAUCGCUGAAAUGAAUAUUUACACAAGUUGCGUGUGUUUGGUGGGUUUUCUACGUGUGACAAGGAGAGGAGAAAGGGAAAUCUUUAUCCUCAUCGACCAGUCUAACUAAGCUCGCUUGGAAGCAACAACAUGCACGACUUAAUUUUCCUUCAUUAGGUUCCUAGGGACAUGGCUGGUAAAGAAGUAAUGAUCAAGUCAGUGGCCCAAGCAUUACCAACCUACACUAUGGGAGUUAAAAAUGAAUAGUCUGUUGGAGUUGUUCUAACAUGUGGUAGUGUUUGUGCACAUGCUCACAUGCCAUAGACACAGUCCCUCUACAUGAAUCAGUUCCACCGGCUGCUUGCUCUGGAACUAUUGCUAGCAAUUAUAUGAUUAUAUUAUCGCAAAAUCUAAAAUGAGAGCCAUCUCGUUUUACGUGAGCCCCUGGUUUUGGAAGGAUGACGAAAUUGUGGAAGGUGAUUUUAUUCCUCGAAAGAUUAAAGGAAAGAGUAAGGAAGUAACAAAUCAUAUGAAUGAUGUAACAGCUCUGAUUACGACAAUGGGGCGGCGCUCCAGUGAUGCUAGGGUUUGGGGGUUUGGGAUUACCGGUUGGGCUGGAGAUAGAGGAAGCUCCGGGAAGGCUGCCAGCUGGCAGUGGAGGCGGGUUGUGGGCGGGAUGGCUAGGCGGGGGCAUCGCUCGUUAGGGUUGUGGGAGAUAGCUGUUAGGUAGUGGAGGAGAUGCGGGUGUGGAGUUCGAGGAUUUGCACCGCCAACAAUGAUACAGCUAAACAGAGUCGGUGGGAGGUCGGCAGCUAAACAGCUGCCUCCCUUGUUUGUAGCUUACCGAUCACCUCCAGUAAAGGGAGAGCCAUUUUUCGUCAUUUUUGCCUAUUUUAUUUCUGUAUGUCUAGGAAGUAUGUGGUAAUAAUGGUCUUGUUUUGAUUCCUUUGUCAUUUGUCACUUGUCUGCCUUCGCAUGACACACCACUAACAUGACAUGUGCAAAGUUAUUUGUUCCACCCAUUUGGAGAAGGAUUUUUGUUUUAGAAAAAAGGCAUAUCAAAUCAUCAUCAUUGUUCUAACUUUUGAUUAGAAAAUGUUUAGUUUUUGUCAAUCUUUUUGCGGGUAGUUUUUGUCUAUUUUCCUUCCAUAAUAAGAAAAAUUACUCCCUCCAUCCCAAAUUACUAUUCAUUUUGACUUUUCCAAAUACAUAAAUUUUACUAUGCAUCUAGAUAUAUCAUCUAGAUAUAUGCUAUGUCUAGAUACAUGUAUCUAGAAAAUCUAAAACAAAUAGUAAUUUAGAACGGAGGGAGUACACUUUAGAUACUUAAUAUGGUCCGGAUAAUACGUGUCAUAUAAACUGUGGCAUGUGCUGUACUAGUGUCAUGGCCUCAUGGCGAUUGAGAGGAACUCGAGACCUUUUAUUUGCACUGUUCGGAAUUUGUGAACGAUGCCUGUCUUUUCUAAAUUAAGCCCAAAGAAACAGGGUCGAAAUUGGAAUCAAGCGCUUGGCACGUGCUUUGUCCUGGGCUCCUGUACGAGCAAGUGCAGCAGCUGUUCUCAGACGACCAUGCGUUUGGUGCACGGAGAUUUGGACCAGUACAGCUUAGAUUGGCAGCAGGUACACUUUUUAAGUCCUUUACUUUUUUUUCUCCAUACGCCAAAUGGAGAUUAAACGAGCCUCGAUCAUGCAAAACUACAGUAAUUCUCUCCAAUACAAAUGUUACACGGACUGACAUGUACAUAGGUUGGUAGGUCAUGCAUAUAGAAUCCACUCUGAUGACGUGGGUCAAUCUAAACCGUUUGUUUGCCUACUCUCUGGUGAAGUAUUCCCUCCAGUCAGGUAAAUUGAUUUGACGUUCCAUAAAAGAAAAACAAGAAGAAAACAAGCUGGGUUUACUGUCCGAAAUUAACCUGAUGAUAUGCUUUGGUUCUUGUGUCGUUAUGGAGAUGAUGAUUUUCCUUCAUCCUGAAAAUGAUUCAAAUUUUCCAAAUGAAAAUAAUUUUGUGGACAAGAUUUGAAACUACAGUCGGUUCCACAAAAUACAUCGUCUAUAUUCAGUAUGCGAAUUGAAGAUAGGUAACAUAUCGCUGUCAAAAGGAACACACAAAACGUCAGAGCACUGUUGCUCGAUGUGAGCGUGGUCGAUUGGAGGCAACCUACAGCACUUGAUGCGCUUUCGACAAAAAGGGAAAGAAAUGUUGGGUGACGCACUUUAUCUGCAUGGAAAAAACAAGAGAGAAAGAAAAGGGCGGCCAUGUUAUAAUACCAUAAGAACCCCAUGAAUGGAACAUAGCAAAAGGAGUAGAAUCAUCAAGAGAAAUUAGAAACUUAAAUAAAACUAAGAUCAACAUCAACUACUAAAAGCCAUGAACAAACUCGGUGAACAGAUCGAUCGAUUGCACACCUAAGUCCUAAUUAAUGAAGCUAGUACUGAUGCAUGAUUUGCCCUGCUAAUAACAUCUAGUUGGAGAUCGAUGAGCCAAGACUCAAUUACAACUUAGAAGAAGAAUUAAGCUCGCUAGGUUGUAAUCUCAGCAUGACAGGAACAGUAGACGGAUGAGCUAGGCGUGGACGUAGAGCGCGGCGAGGCUGCGGCGGCAGCGGGCGCAGGAGAACUUGCGCUUGUUCUUGACGCACAGCGGCAGGCAGCACAGCAC